UUGAUUGUCUACCACGCACAUGCCUUUGCCCUCUCCUAGUUGGGGAACAUUCGUCAUGCCCUCAUUAGCAAUCUGAAGGAGGUCUACCGACACCUAAUGUGCAACAGUACCCUCAGUCACAUGGCGACACGAUAUCAACGACAAUAACAUCCUAACACCCGCCUAAGUCGAGCCUACAUUAUAAUUAUGUCAAACAAAUAAAUAAACAUGGUUAAGAAAAUUUAAUAACAUAAGCAAUGAAAAAUAACAUACCACGACGCUAGAUGGUGAAGGUGGAGAGGAUCUACGAUGGGGUUGUGCCUCCUGUGGAACAUCGGGGCGCUGUGUAGGCAUAAUAGUCGAUCGCGCGUGAGCUAUAGCAACAAUAAUAUAGGGAUGCGAAACCCUCCUAAACCAUUGUAUGUAUCCAUCGAUACAUUCAGAAGGAGAUGAUGCAAGUCUCACAUUCCUAAUAACGUGAUCUGUGAAGUGUAACCACGCAUAAUCAACAACGACUACAUCUACAACUGCAACGGCAUUGGGUGGUCGUGGAAUGUCCUAGUAAAACCUAAACUACCUCAACACAUGCUUAGGCAAAUAACGGGAAAAGGUUGUCACCAAUCCGAAUCCAUCCAGAAUACAUACAGGUGCCAAAGAAUGGACGAAUGCCCCGAUGUCUCUCAUAUGGAUGCCAUACAACUCCAUUAUAUGUUAGGCCAUCCAACUACGAUCGAAUCUCUACAAGAGUCAAACUCUGUCGAGGGCUCUGCCACCUAGCGGCAUGUGGUGUGGUGUCAUCAUAAGAAGACACCAACCACCUCCUUCCCAUGCAAGGGAAAUGCUCGUAU
rnacentral:lncRNA from 1 species